UUUGAGGAACUGAUCUGAUUCGUUCUAUCUAGUUUUAAUAUACCUAUGGUUGUUUUUUACAAGGGGAUUUUAACAAACACAAAAGUAUUUAAGUUUGCAUUUAGCUGCUAAAUAUGUUUUCUCUGUUAGCCACGUUUAGCAUGCUUGGUAGAGCAUGUUGAAUAUGCGCACAAGGUGGAACCAACAAAGGCAGUUUUGAUUCUUCGGUUUUCAGAUUCCAUAUUAUAUCAAAAAGUGUCAUGAGUGUGUGCGAAGUAUGGCGCAGCAUUUUAAUAUAAUCAUUCUUGUAAUGCACUUAAUUGCUUUAUGGCAUAGUUAUGUUUGCGAAAUCAAUGUUGGAACAAAUAUUCAUGAAAUACUAGAAAGCCAUUUAAUGCCACUUGAUCUCUUUACAUUAUGUGCAAAAUGUCGGCUUAGGAACAAAAUUUCGAAUGAGUUUACUGCCGUUCUACACUUAAUGACAUAUCACAGAAAAAUGAUUCACAACUACAUGACAUCUAAUUAUCUUUCAAAGGAAAUUUUAAAUUCAAUGAAUAUUAAAGAAAAUGAACUCAUCAAAAGUGGAAUUAAAGGAGAUACAUAUUUUGAAGGAAAUCAGUCGAACGCAAAAUCCUCUGAUGUCUUUAAUAAAAUGUUAGUGGAAAGCGGCUCUUUACAAUACAAAUCACUGUUAAAAAGCUUAAUGGCUAUAUAUUACCGCGAUACAAAUUCAAAGGAAAUUAGUCAGUAUACCUAUGGAAGUGGGAAUCGAUAUCGAAGGUCGUCAGAUCUAAAUCAGCCGAGUUCCGCAGCAACAGAAGAAUAUGAUUACGGGGACAUUACUGGCUAUGCUUAUACGGGUGCCCCUUCAUUGGCCCCUAGAUCCCAUUUCAUUUCUCCUGGAGAAUUUAACAACAAAUUAAUCUUCAAGGAUAAUUUUGCCUUAAUUUCGAAGAAAAACAAUAAAAAUGGAUAUGAUCAUCCCCAAAAGGAAUACACAUCCGAUUAUGAGGAACAUCCGGAGCGCCUGAAUUCUGUUACCGAUUUAUCAAAAAAUAAGAAAGAAAUAAAUUUUAAGGACAUAUCGGACAUCGCACUAACAACAUUAGCAUUUUUAUCGUUUGGAAUGUUUACACUACAAGUGCUUAUGUGCAUAGUUAUGAGUAAAGAAGAUGAACAAAGUAUAAUGAUGCUUCCUAUGGAAGUAACUGAGCCUUCUGAAACAAUUGAUGGGACUGAGGAAAUAAGAAGACGAAAACGAUCCGUGAAUAAAAAUAAAACAUUUAAACAGAUUAUCGACAUGUCGAGGCUUAUGCUCAUCUCAGUAGAAAAUGUAGCUUCAACUGGACAAACUGCAAUUUUCAAUGGACGGUACUUACCUUGCAAUAUUUCUACUGCAAUUGAACUAUCUUUUCAACAGAAGGCUUGGAUAUUAUUAAUUAUGGUAAGCCGGGGUGGCUUUGCUGGAGGGUCUGUGUGCCGGUUGGAAACGGUAACUCACGCUCCUCACUAUUCCAACGCAUGAUGGCGUUGCAGUCGCCCCUCUUGAACGCGACCACUAGCGCUCCGCUAUGACAUUAACUAACUGAAUGGCGCGCAUUUUAAAAAAGAGUGUUAUGCUGCCGCACCCUGUACCUGCAAUAGCAAUAUGGAAAUCGUCCGACGAGCUUAAUCAAAGAUCCUCAGAACUAUCAGCGUGGAACCGUGGCUUGUUCGAAACGAAAACAUUCAUUGAGUCUUCAACCUACCUCAUUCAAAAAUGCAAUAGCUGAAAUCAAGAGGAAAUACUAUGUCAAGCUUACAUCGCACCCCAACCCGUCUCCGACGCUACGUGUCCAGCGAACAAACUUUUUAAAGACGUCUCAUCAAAGCACAGUUUAAUAUAAACUGUUGACAAAAUAAACCCAUUGAAGAAGAUGCAAAUAAUUACGUAACACCACAUCAACGUAACACCGCUAACCCGCCAAUAAGCACCCAAGCAGUGACAUUAAAGAUAUUGAAGAAAAAGUAAAAUAAGUCCUAGAAGCCAGUUCCUUAAGCGAAAUUCUCAAUUCUCAUUAUUUACCAGGCAUCUGUCUAACAAUUAAAGAUAUUUCGGCAAGCAAAAUGAAAUAAUCAGAUGAAAGGCCAUAGCGAGGCUCACCAAAAUAUAACGGAAUCAAUCUUUCAAUGCGUAAUUACCGAAAAGCUGAAUCUUUAUCUUUUUUAGAUGUCUCGCAAGAAACAGAGCAUACACUGACAGCAAUGUAUAGCACAAGAUAUUUUUGUCCGGCGCUUGACAGCUUGUUGCAAAUACUUGGAUCAACUGGAACUUCAUCUGCAAUUGCUGGAAACUACGUUUUGCUUUUAAAAAAUAUGUUUAAUAUAUUUAAAUCCUGC